CCUUGGUAGCGCAGCUAACGCGUGAAGUUGACCGCCUGGGGAGUACGGUCGCAAGAUUAAAACUCAAAGGAAUUGACGGGGACCCGCACAAGCGGUGGAUGAUGUGGAUUAAUUCGAUGCAACGCGAAAAACCUUACCUACCCUUGACAUGUCUGGAAUGCCGAAGAGAUUUGGCAGUGCUCGCAAGAGAACCGGAACACAGGUGCUGCAUGGCUGUCGUCAGCUCGUGUCGUGAGAUGUUGGGUUAAGUCCCGCAACGAGCGCAACCCUUGUCAUUAGUUGCUACGAAAGGGCACUCUAAUGAGACUGCCGGUGACAAACCGGAGGAAGGUGGGGAUGACGUCAAGUCCUCAUGGCCCUUAUGGGUAGGCUUCACACGUCAUACAAUGGUCGGGACAGAGGGUCGCCAACCCGCGAGGGGGAGCCAAUCCCAGAAACCCGAUCGUAGUCCGGAUCGCAGUCUGCAACUCGACUGCGUGAAGUCGGAAUCGCUAGUAAUCGCGGAUCAGCAUGUCGCG
rnacentral:rRNA from 1 species